rnacentral:rRNA from 1 species
GCUUAACCAUAAACCUAGACAGCCAAAAACUCUUACUGUCCGCCAGGGAACUACAAGCAAAAGCUUAAAACUCAAAGGACUUGGCGGUGCUCUACACCUAACUAGAGGAGCCUGUCCCAUAAUCGAUACCCCACGAUAAACCCGACCACUCUUUGAAUACUUCAGCCUAUAUACCGCCGUCACCAGCCUACCUCAUGAGAGCACAAAAGUAAGCAAAACUGCAAACACAAUUACGCCAGGUCAAGGUGUAGCUUACAGGGUGGAGAAGAUGGGCUACAUUUUCUAAGACAGAAUACACACGGAAAGGCUUAUGAAAAACAACCUAAAAGGCGGAUUUAGCAGUAAAAUAAACAAGAAUUUUUACUUGAAGAUUGCUCUAGAGCACGC